GGUCUCUCAGUGUCCCCAUGUCUCACUGUGUCUCCUAGUAUCCUAGUGACAUGAGGACACACUGAGACAUGGGGACACUGGGAG
rnacentral:miRNA from 1 species